rnacentral:lncRNA from 1 species
UUGGAUAGUCUGAGGCUUGCUUCUCUUUAGAGAGCAAGAUUGUAAUUGGCUUAGUUCUCUGAGCUGUAAAGACUAAGAGAGGGAGGUUGGGAGGUUACACAAUCAAUAUACAUCAAGAUUCUAUCAGUGGAGAAGCAGAAUUUUAUGUUAGAGUAGAAACUGAUCGAGUCGCUGAGGCUAUGACGCUGUCCAACGAGAUAUUGGAUUGUCUUCUCGACAUCUUCCAAGUCGUUUCUCACUCUCAUUAAGGACAUUCUCACCUUAACCUUUUGCAAUUCAGUUCCAAGCUCUUCCAUUCAAAGGAAUUAAUGUAUUCACCUUUUUCAGUUGCCUAUGGGAAAGCUGAUAAAACAUCUGGAGACAUAGAAACCCCAACCACUUUGAAAUGAUCCAAGUCCAAAUAUAUAGUCUUGUUUUGAUAUUUUAACAACCU